CUAUUUUCCCCUCCCUUCGACUUUAACCCCUACAGUGCUCAGGAAUCCCUAUUUCCCUUUCUUUCCCAAAUUCGUCUUCUCCAUUUUCUCUCUACCUAUAAAUUAAUCAAAACCCACCCAUUUCUGUUGCUACAUGACUGUCCUCUUCCACCGAAAACCACCAUUGAUAGCGAAUUUGCCUCCACUGAUUUGGCGCCCGUGGCUAGCCUGUUCUACAUUUCCUCUUAGCACAAUAAACACCAAUUUUCUAUGUAUUUCUCGAUUUUCUGCGAUUUCCAGUUCAAAAAUUGACCUCUUUUGACAUUUUCUAAGCCGAUUAAUAGGGUUUUGUUGAUCACGUCCUCCUCGUCCUCUCCUCCACUCGGUUGUCGCCAAUUAACAUUGAAAGGAGGAUAACCGCUCCGUCUCCACACCCUGCUUAGGCAGCAUAGGGAAAAUGUUCUGUAUAGCUAACUGAGCGGAAGUAUAUUUCAAGCCUUAGUGGUUCCUUAUGCAGAAUUUUGUUGGCAAUGCAUCCUCAGAAAGCAACUUAAGAAACUCUUAGCUAUCUUACCUGGUAUCAUGUCAGCUGCAAUUCUAUUAGCAGAGGCAACUUUACUAACAAGUGACGUUGAUCUAUCUCUUUUCUCAAUCCUUAUAGUUCGAAAGCAAUAAGUACUUGUGCAGGCCAACUCCUCAUUCACAGGCUAUAAUGGCAGUGAGUAAUACAUUUGACCUACCCUGGACUGGCUUUGGGUGAUAGCUCCUGCAACUUAUGAAAUUCCCAUUACAAUUACUAUAUUUCCCAUGGCUUCUUACAAAAUUUGUCUUUGAUAUUGCAUAUAGAGGUUUAGAUCAAUAGGUUUUGUAGAGCAUACUAAUUCUAAAAGCAGGAUCACACAAGGGGAUUAGGGUAAAUACUAAUAGUGUGUAUUGGAGAGAACAACUAUGAAGCAUAAUGCUUUCUUUGGUUGGUUAAUUACCUGUAUAUUGUAAAGCAUAGUCGAUGCCAAUUUUGGUUAUAUUAGUAGCUCAUACUUUGGAUGUUUUUUGAGUAUGUAAAAAGAAUAUUAGUGCAAUCCAUAGUCUAAGGUAAA